rnacentral:lncRNA from 1 species
AUGAAUUCAAGCCCAGUGGAUUUCAUUUGCAAUUUUCAAUUUACUGAGGCCUCCAAACCCCACGGUGAUAAAAGCUUCCCCUAUCGUGGCCUGUCACAAACAUCAAGAAACUGCACAAACCCACAAGAAAGAAAAAAGAGAAAGCUGUGCAUCCUUGCAGGUACAGAUAAGGAGAACAGGAAGGAAUGGUAUCAUGCAGGAAGAAUGUCUAUUAGAAUCAUCCAGAGCAUGGAUUGGACUGAUGCUGAAGCUCCAGUACUUUGGCCACCUGAUGAGAAGAGCUGACUCCCUGGAAGAGACCCUGAUGCUUUGAAAGAUUGAGGGCAAGAGGAAAAGGGGGUGACAGAGGAUGAGAUAGUUGGAUGGCAUCACAGACUCAAUGGACAUGAGUUUAAGCAAACUCCGGGAGAUAGUCAAGGACAGGGGAGCCUGAUGUGCUGCAGCCCAUGGGGUCACAAAGAGUUGGACAUGACUGAGUGACUGAACAACAACAACAACGCACACAGAUUGGGAAAGUCCCAAAUUUCAAUCAUCUCUAUGGAAUGGCCUUGAAACAGCAAUGCUCAUGACUACUUAUGAAAUAUCUUCUGUGACAGACAGAUAAUAGACACUCCACCCAUCCUGUCUUAUAAAAAGUAUCUUAUUAUAAAAUGACAAACAUAUAGAAAACAAGAAUAUUAUAAAACCAUGGGUACACAUUAGUCAUUUUCCAUUUGAUAAGGUCUUUUAAAAUGUAAUAAAAUAUUAUUGAAAUAAUUGAAUUCUCCUGUGUGUCUCUUUCCAAUCCUAUUCUCUCCUUACUUUUCCCAGAGGUAGCCAACAUCCUGAACUUGAUACAUUCCUAUGUAUAUAUCACAUUUGUAUGGCUUUGUAUAUUUUAAAAGUUACUUUAUAAUACCAUAAUUUUCACUAAAAAUUAUAUUUUGAUAUAUGUCUACAUUGCUGCAUGUAGGACCAAGUUACUUUAUGUAAAACUUCUUUAUAAGUAUAUUUUAUUGAUCUGUUCCACUAAUGUUGGACGUUUCUUUUCAGUUCUUUAAUAAUAUAAUGUGGGAAUGAGCAGUUUUAAACCUCUCUCCUGCUUGGUUUGAGUGUGCUCUUACUCCUUCUUGCUGUGGUGCUGCUCAGUGAGUACUCUUGUGUACCCACUGGGGCUCACACCCAGUGAAUUUCAGACAUCCUUCCCCCUGACAUGAAGGUGACUUCUAGCAAAUAGAGCAGCUGCCCCAGUAAGCAGUUUCCUGCUGAGUUCCCAGGCAGUCUGGCCAGCUUCUCAGAAAGUUCAGUAGCAUUUCUUAUAGGAAGAUAACUUGGAAUGUUUAUGAGCACCCCACCACCUGCCCGAGCUCAUGGGUAGCCUGGGCUUGCUACACCUUACCAGAAUUAAAGCCCAGAUUUGAAUAAAUUCAUUUUCUAAUUGGAUUAAGAUAAUCUGAAGAUUGGCAGUGGUCCGAGCCUGUCUUUUUACCAGAAAUCAAUGUACACCACUAGUGCUACCUGGGAAGCCCCAGGUUAAGAAUGUGCCUGCCAAUGCAGGACACACAAAGAUGUCGGUUCAUUCCCUGGGUCAGGAAGAUCUCCCGGGGGAGGGGUGGUAACCCCCUCCAUCAUUCUUGCCUGGAGAAUUCCUUGUACAGAGGAGCCUGGUGGGCUACAGUCCAUAGGGUUGGGUUGCAAAGAGGCAGACACGAUUGAAGCAACUUAGCAUGCACACAAUGUAAAUCCUCUUUAGAGAAAAAUACUACUAUCUGAAGCCUCAACAUAUCUGUAAAAUAAUGGAAGAAGAAGGGAAAGCAGAUACUAGAAAAUAAUACACAGGAGAUAAUGGAAUCAUCAGACAUAGGCUUAAAAAUAACUGUUUCAUAUGUCCAAGGAAUUAAAAGGCAAGGCAAGGAAGAGCACCGCAACAGGAAAUUGAAAGUUAUAAAAAGAAUGAAAUAAAAAUUCUAGAAAUGAAAAAUAGAAUAACUGGAUUCAACAGCCAGUUAGACACAGUUUAAGAAAGAGUUUAUGAAGCAGAACACAGUUCAGGAAGAAGCAUCAGACGAGCAUAUAAAACAAUGAAAAUACAGAAAAAAAGUAGCAGAGGCAUAUCAGAUAUAUUUGUAGACAGAAAGAAGCACUAGUUGAAGAGAUAAUAGGACAGAACUUCCCAAACAACUAAAAGAUACCAAACCACAUUUUAAAGAAGCAUGGGAGACCCUACACAAAACAACUACAGACAACCAUUGCUAAGCACAUAAUACUGAAACAACUGAAAACCAAAAUCAAGGAGAAAAAUCUUAAAAGCAGACAGAAAAAAAGAAACAUUACUUUCAAAGAAGCAAGAAUAAUGUAUUUUCUCAAAAGAAACUGUAAAUCAAAGUACAAAGGAAUUAUGUUUUCAAGGCAUUGAAAGAGCAUAAUUGUCAACCUAGCAUUCUAUCCUCAGUGAGUACAUCUUUCAAAAAUGAAGGCAUUCUCAGGCAAAAUUAAAAGAUAGCACAUUGGUACAUUUAUACAUUUCAUAAUGAUAAAAGUUUCAACUCAGCAAGAAGAUUAAAUUUUCUGACUGUAGGCACCAAAUGACAGAGAUUUAAAAUAUACAAAGGAAAAAUGGACAGAAUUAAAAGAAGAUGGAGACAAGUCCACAAUCAUGUUGGAAGUUUUAAUACACCUCUCCCAAUAACUGGUGAAACAAGCAGACCAAAAAAUGAUAUGAAUAUGGAAGAUUUAAACAGCACAAGAUUUAAACUUCACCCUAGACUGCUUUCUUUUUAGUGAAUGUGGAAUAUUUAUCCAAAUUUAUAUGAGCCAAACUAUAAAACAAAUCACAAAAAAUUUCAAAAGAUUUAAAUAAUUCAGAGCAUUUUCUGUGGCCAUAGUGGAAAUAUGUGCAUGUGUGCGAAGUCGCUUCAGUUGUGUCCAACUCUGUGACCCCAUGAACUGUAGCCUGCCAGGCUCCUCUGUCCAAGAGAUUCUCUAGGCAAGAAUACGAGAGUGGGUUGCCAUGCCCUCCUCCAGGGGAUCUUCCUGACCCAGCGACUGAACCUGUGCCUCUUAUGUCUCCUGCAUUGGUAGGUGGGUCCUUGCCCACUAGCGCCACCUGGGAAACCCAGUGGACAUGUAUUAGAUACCAAUAACAACAAUGCUGAAAACCCCACAGA